GUUUAGCGUCCAAUGUAAGGAGUGAUUGGCACGGAUGCCAGUCAUCGAAUUUAAUUUCGAUUUCACUUGCCUCAACAGGUCUUUGCAAGCAGAGUUUAGUGUCCAAUGAAGGAAAGGUACGCAUGGGCUGGCUACACCCCUGGCAUUGGCUACGAGGUUAUGGUCUCAUUUGUCUUGCCAGGUCCUCUCAAGCACAGCAUAUUUCCAAAAGUCUCAGUUGCUAGUCAUUGCCUCUGUGAGGCCUAAUGUUCGAAGGUCGUGCUUCACCACUUCAU